GACGAACCGAGCGAACGUUGUUCGGAAUUACUGGGCGUAAAGGGCGCGUAGGCGGCGCAACAAGUCACUUGUGAAAUCUCCGGGCUUAACCCGGAGCGGCCAAGUGAUACUGUCGUGCUAGAGUGCGGUAGGGGCUACUGGAAUUCUCGGUGUAGCGGUGAAAUGCGUAGAGAUCGGGAGGAACACCAGAGGCGAAGGCGGCGACCUGGACAGAUACUGACACUCAACUGCGAAAGCGUGGGGAGCAAACAGG
rnacentral:rRNA from 1 species